rnacentral:rRNA from 1 species
UACGUAGGUGGCGAGCGUUGUCCGGAUUUACUGGGCGUAAAGGGCUUGUAGGCGGUCCGUUAAGUCCGAUGUGAAAUCUCCCGGCUCAACUGGGAGAGGUCAUUGGAUACUGGCGGACUAGAGGGGGGUAGAGGAAAGCAGAAUUCCUGGUGUAGCGGUGAAAUGCGUAGAUAUCAGGAGGAAUACCUGAGGCGAAGGCGGGUUGCUGGGCCAACACUGACGCUGAGGCGCGAAAGCCAGGGGAGCAAACGGG